rnacentral:sRNA from 1 species
GGAAGGAUCAUUAUAGUACAACCGAGGCGCGAGGGCUGUCGCUGACCUUUUCAGGUCGUGCACGCCCGAGUGCUCUCACACAUCCAUCUCACCCCUAUGUGCACCACCGCGUGGGUCCCCCUUUGGCUUGUUCGGAGGGGGGCUUACGUUUUCACACAAACUUUGUAUGCAGUGUAGAAUGUAUUUUUGUUUUGCGAUCACGCAAUCAAUACAACUUUCAACAACGGAUCUCUUGGCUCUCGCAUCGAUGAAGAACGCAGCGAAAUGCGAUACGUAAUGUGAAUUGCAGAAUUCAGUGAAUCAUCGAAUCUUUGAACGCACCUUGCGCCCCUUGGCAUUCCGAGGGGCACACCCGUUUGAGUGUCGUGAAAUUCUCAAAACCUUUUUCUUUGGGAAAGGGUUUUGGACUUGGAGGCCUUUUGCUGGUUUCACCUUGAAGCGAGCUCCUCCUAAAUGGAUUAGUGGGGUCUGCUUUGCCGAUCCUUGACGUGAUAAGAUGUUUCUGCGUCUUGGGUUUGGCACUGUCACCUGCUUCUAACUGUCUCAUUGACGACGAUGGCGCUCCGGUCACCACCGCUCUGUCGGUGGAAGGCUUGACCCACAAAAAAAAACUUUGACCUCAAAUCGGGUGAGACUACCCGCU